GUAAUAGCUCACUGGUCGAGUGAAGUUGCGCGGAAAAUUACCGGGGCUAAGUUAUCAACCGAAAUUGCGGAUUUGUAAUUUAUUACAAGUGGUAGAGGAGCAUUCUAUUGUAGGAUGAAGUCAGAGCGUGAGCACUGGUGGACGAGAUAGAAGAGAGAAUGCUGGAAUAAGUAGCGAGAGCAGGGUGAGAAUCCCUGCCGUCGAAAGUCUAAGGUUUCCUGGGGAAGGUUCGUCCGCCCAGGGUUAGUCAGGACCUAAGGAGAGGCCGAAAGGCGUAUCUGAUGGAUAGCAGGUUGAUAUUCCUGCACUAUAUAAUACUUAAAAGAUGCAACUGACGCAGAAGUGGAAGGUGAGCAAGGAAAUGGAAAAACUUGUUCCGCAAGGGGGAGUGAAAAUAAAGUAACGAAGCACCAAGAAGCACGCUGACGAGAAAAGGUUGUAGAUCUUGUAUUAUAUACUUGUACCGCAAACCGACACAGGUAGAUGAGGAGAGGAUCCUAAGACGAUCGGGAGAAGCAUUGUUAAGGAACUCGGCAAAUUGACCCCGUAACUUUGGAAGAAGGGGUACUGGUGUAACAGCCAGUCGCAGAGAAUAGUCCCAAGCAACUGUUUAACAAAAACAUAGGUUUCUGCUAAAUCGAAAGAUGAAGUAUAGGAGCUGACGCCUGCCCAGUGCUGGAAGGUUAAGGGAACGUGUUAAUAGUAAUAUGAAGCACCGAACUGAAGCCCCAGUGAACGGCGGCCGUAACUAUAACGGUCCUAAGGUAGCGAAAUUCCUUGUCAGGUAAGUUCUGACCCGCACGAAAGGCGUAAUGAUUUGGGAGCUGUCUCGACAAUGUCCCCGGCGAAAUUGUAGUACUAGUGAAGAUGCUAGUUACCUGCGACAAGACAGAAAGACCCCAUGGAGCUUUACUGCAGUUUGAUACUGAGUCAGGCUAAUUUAUGUACAGGAUAGUUAGGAGGCUUUGAGGCUUAAGCGCCAGCUUAAGAAGAGCCAACGUUGGGAUACUAACCUUAAAUUAGUUUGAAUCUAACUCGUGAUCGUAAUCCGGUCAGAGGACAAUGUCAGACGGGCAGUUUGACUGGGGCGGUCGCCUCCUAAAGAGUAACGGAGGCGUUCAAAGGUUCCCUCAGCGCGGACAGAAAUCGCGCAAUAGAGUGUAAAGGCAGAAGGGAGCUUAACUGGGAGACUUACAAGUCGAGCAGAUACGAAAGUAGGACUUAGUGAUCCGGUGGAUUAUGAAUGGAAAUGCCAUCGCUCAACGGACAAAAGUUACCCUGGGGAUAACAGGCUUAUCUCCCCCAAGAGUUCACAUCGACGGGGAGGUUUGGCACCUCGAUGUCGGCUCAUCGCAUCCUGGGGCUGAAGUCGGUCCCAAGGGUUGGGCUGUUCGCCCAUUAAAGCGGUACGCGAGCUGGGUUCAGAACGUCGUGAGACAGUUCGGUCCUUAUCUGUCGCAGGCGCAGGAUAUUUGAGGAGAUCUGCCCCUAGUACGAGAGGACCAGGGUGGACGAACAGAUGGUGCAACAGUUGUUCUACCAAGAGCAUAGCUGUGUAGCCAAGUUCGGAAUGGAUAAACGCUGAGAGCAUCUAAGUGUGAAGCCAACUCCAAGAUAAGAUAUCCCAUACCGUUAAGGUAGUAAGAUUCCAUGAAGACUACGUGGUUGAUAGGUUGGGGGUGUAAGUGAAGCGAUUCACUGAGCUGACCAAUACUAAUAAAUCGAGGGCUUAACCAU
rnacentral:rRNA from 1 species